CCACACCGCCUCAUUCUAUUAUCCUACCAUUCCUACCCACACAACCUCAUUCUCUCCUCACUCUUCCAUCAAUAUUCUGUUUCUCACGAUCAAGGCACACAAUGAUCAAGGCCAUACAACCAAGAUCAAAUCUACACAAUCUCGAUCAAGGCCACGCAACAUCUUCAUCCUACUCUCUCUCCUCCAUCAUUUUGUUAAUUCGGGUUGUGGGUUUUUGAUUUUGGGUGGUUUGGGUUGUAAGUUUUCGGCUUUCGAUGGUUGUGGGUUGUUGGUUUUCGAAUUUUGAUUGUGGGUUUUCGAUUUGGGUGGUUGUGGUUUGUGGGUUUUCGGUUUUGGGUGGUUGUGGUUUGUGGGUUUUCGGUUUUUGGUGGUUGUGGGUUGUUGGUUUUCGAAUUUUGAUUGUGGGUUUUCGAUUUGGGUGGUUGACUGGUUGUGGUUUGUGGGUUUUCGGUUUUGGGUGGUUGUGGUUUGUGGAUUUUCGGUUUUUGGUGGUUGUGGGUUGUUGGUUUUCGAAUUUUGAUUGUGGGUUUUCGAUUUGGGUGGUUGUGGUUUAUGGGUUUUCGGUUUUGGGUGGUUGUGGUUUGUGGGUUUUUGAUUUGGGUUGUGGUUGAUUGUGGAUUGUUCUCGGUGGUGGGGGUCAUUGUUGGUUUUUGGUGUUGCCUAACAUUCAUAUAAGUUUUGGAAAUGAAAAGUAAUUGGAUUAGUUACAGUAAAUUGAUGAUAAAAGGUAUUCGGUUCCUUAAAUCAAUCAAAGAUUAUAUUAUACUUUCUCCGUUUCGUUUUAAAUGCAACAAAGGAAUAUUUAUAUCUCACGAAAAAUACCCCUUUGUUGCGUUUACAACGAAAUGGAAGAAGUAAGGCAAGAUUGUUCAACACCAAUGAUGAAUGUAAAUUCUACAAUUUCCAGGUUUUGUUUCUCUAUCUAAUGCUUGCGAUUUUCGCCAUUUCUAUCGAGUUUUUAAAUUAAAUUCGAAUUUGAUCGAUUUUCCGCUUUAAUUUCAUCCUGUCAAUAUUUUCUCUUGUUGUAAUUCGUACUUUAUACUCAAGUUUUCUCCUUUAUCAUUUAUGAAUAUAUGAUAUUCAUAGUCAGAAUUAUUGAUUUUAAAUUUUGAGGUUUUAAUUUUCUGACAUAUUUUGAUCUAGUAUUAUGCAGUAUGCCUGAAAAUGUUAGCAACUUUGUGAAUUUCGAUUCCAUAUUGAUUCGGAUUCUCGACUAGUUUACAAGCAUUAUGCAACCCUAACCAUUUACUUUGUAUUUGUGUAUGACAAUGCUGAAAAUGCCCUUAGCAGAGGCAAAACCUCUAUUCCACUUGCUGCAUUUUUAUCGUUGCUACAAGUCUAUAACAUCUGAAUUCUUUUGGUCAAUGUGUCUCUUGCUCUUUACUUACUUCAUCAAGCCUUUGUCCUUACAUGACCUUGCAGCUUUUGUAGAAACUUUGGACAGAUGCUUCAAGAAUGUCUGUGAGCUUGACAUAGUGUACAAUUAUGGCAAGAUGGCUGACUCUCAAUGUGAGCGACCCAUUGAAGUUGGAAAUGAUUCAGAUUCUGAUGUCAGUCAUGGCAAGUCAGAGAAGAAAGCAAUGCAAUUACUAAUUCUACCUCGAACAAAGAUUUUAAUUUUCAAUGAAUUGAACUAUUUUAUUUUAAUUUUUGCAAGAAAUAGUUAAAUCUUGAAUUUAUGUUUUGUAAUCUGAAGUUGGUGGCCAAUUUAUGAUUUUGAAUGUUGAAAGUUGAAACUUCAACUUUUACAUCUA